GAUGAACGCUGGCGGCGUGCCUAAUACAUGCAAGUCGAGCGAACAGACGAGGAGCUUGCUCCUCUGACGUUAGCGGCGGACGGGUGAGUAACACGUGGAUAACCUACCUAUAAGACUGGGAUAACUUCGGGAAACCGGAGCUAAUACCGGAUAAUAUAUUGAACCGCAUGGUUCAAUAGUGAAAGACGGUUUUGCUGUCACUUAUAGAUGGAUCCGCGCCGCAUUAGCUAGUUGGUAAGGUAACGGCUUACCAAGGCAACGAUGCGUAGCCGACCUGAGAGGGUGAUCGGCCACACUGGAACUGAGACACGGGCCAGACUCCUAGGGGGGGCAGGAGUGGGGAAUCUUCCGCAAUGGGCGAAAGCUUGACGGAGCAACGCCGCGGGAGUGAUGAAGGUCUUCGGAUUGUAAAACUCUGUUAUUAGGGAAAAAAAAAUGUGUAAGUAACUAUGCACGUCUUGACGGUACCUAAUCAGAAAGCCACGGCUAACUACGU
rnacentral:rRNA from 1 species